CACCUUUACAAUUCACUUCUAGUUCCAAAAUAUGAAUAAUUAUAUAUGUGCAUUAGUACAAAAUAAUAGCAUAGGCAAUAAACAACCUAGUCAAGUUCCAAAAAUCAAGAAGACUAGUAUAGUCCAAACUCGUAACAUGUUCAAUAAUAGAGUAUGAACUAUUAAGAUUUAAAAACAUGUAAACGCGAUGAACUUUAAACUAAUGAUCAUCAUGUGCCUCGUGAUCAGGUGAUGGUGAUGGUUGAGUAGUGGGCACUCUAGGGCUACCUAUUCUAGCAGUAGCACCUGGAAUCAUCUCCUCUAACAAGGUGAGAAUACGCUCAUUCUGGCUCUGCAAGUUAUGCACAACUUGACGAAGUUCAGCAUUCUCUCGUUGUGUCGUGCUCGCACGAGAUGUAGCACGUGGAACCUUUGGCCCCCUAUCCAAACCCCUAUAGUAGCAAGAAGUAGUGCCAAGGACAUGAGUCNN
rnacentral:lncRNA from 1 species